rnacentral:rRNA from 1 species
GACGAACGCUGGCGGCGUGCUUAACACAUGCAAGUCGAGCGGAAAGGCCCUUCGGGGUACUCGAGCGGCGAACGGGUGAGUAACACGUGAGUAAUCUGCCCCUCACUCAGGGAUAACCGCGGGAAGCUGCGGCUAAUACUUGAUAUGACCACGUCUCGCAUGGGGUGUGGUGGAAAGCGUUUAGUGGUGGGGGGUGAGCUCGCGGCCUAUCAGCUUGUUGGUGAGGUAGUGGCUCACCAAGGCUUCGACGGGUAGCCGGCCUGAGAGGGUGACCGGCCACACUGGGACUGAGACACGGCCCAGACUCCUACGGGAGGCAGCAGUGGGGAAUAUUGGACAAUGGGCGAAAGCCUGAUCCAGCAACGCCGCGUGAGGGAUGACGGCCUUCGGGUUGUAAACCUCUUUCACCUCUGACGAAGCGCAAGUGACGGUAAGGGGAGAAGAAGGACCGGCCAACUACGUGCCAGCCGCCGCCGUAAUAC